AGUCAUAUCCUGUCACCCGCGCCUGAAUAUAUAGGGCGUGUGGAGGGAACGUGGGGAAGUGAAACAUCUCAGUACCCACAGGAAGAGAAAGCAACCGCGAUUCCGUUAGUAGUGGCGAGCGAAACCGGAACAGGCUAAACCGAGUACGUGUGAUAUCCGGCAGGAGUUGCGUAUUCGGGGUUGUGGGACUUUUCAGGCUGAUCUGCCGAUCAGCCGGCGUUACAGGAUUGUAUAGACGAACCGCAUUGAAAGGCGGGUCAUAGAGGGUGCCAACCCCGUAG
rnacentral:rRNA from 1 species